rnacentral:rRNA from 1 species
GAUGCAGAUCGACUAUGUUGAAUAAAUUCUAGGUAGAAUUAUGAUAAUGACAUUGUCUGCCUAUGUGUCUUGACCAAUUUACGUGCCUGCWRUCGCGGUAAUACGUAGAAGACUAGUGUUAUUCAUGUUUAAUCGGUUUAAAGGGUACCUAGACGGUAGAUCAAGCUUUCUAAUAAAGGAAAAGGACUAAUUUACUAGAGUUACUUAUGAGGGGGUAUUAAAGUACUGCUGGUGUAGAGAUGAAAUUCUGUCAUACCUCUUUUCAAAAGAAAAACCAUGGCACAGGUAUAGGCGAAGGCAUCCCCUUAUGUGAUAACUGACGUUGAGGGACGAAGGCUUUGUGUAGCGAACAGGAUUAGAUACCCCAGUAGUCGAAGCAGAAAAUGAUGAAUGUCAUAGAUUAGAUAUAUAAGUUUAUUCUAUAAAUGAAAGUGUAAGCAUUCCACCUCAUGAGUAAUUUGGCAACAUUGGAACUGAAAUCAUUAGACCGUUUCUGAAACCAGUAGUGAAGUAUGUUGUUUAAUUUGAUGUUCCGCAAAAAACCUUACCACAAUUUGAAUAUUUAUAUUGUUUAUUGUUUUAUUAUUAAUUUUCUUGAACGUAAAAGAAAAGAGAGAUGUAGGAUAAUAGUAAGAAAAUUAAGAAACAAGCAAUAAGAUAUAAUUACAAGCGUUGCACGGCUGUCUUCAGUUAAUGUCGCGAGACUUUGGUUAGUUCCAUUAAAUUAACGUAAACCCUUACUUUAUUUUUAUAUAGAGUAGUUCCCCGCUAUAKUGGAUAUGAUAACA